UCAACACAAGCCCCGGCGUUCAAUAACAACCUUAAAAGGGCAGCCGGAUAAGACGACAGAAAUCACUUGAAAUGCUUCAACCUGCUCUGCUAGCUGUGAUUAGAUCUAAAAGGGAAAGAAAAAUACCCUAAUGGAUUAUAGAAGAGACGAAAGGAGUCGGCUGGCAAUGGGGUGCAGCCUGUGUGAUUACUUGACACACAGGCACACGCUCACUCUGGCCUGGCCUCCACCAAGGAAAGAUACAGCCAAAUGCACAAAGCAGGGAAAAUUACAAGAAUCUCUGCAUGUUUUGGGAGUAUGAAUGAUGUAAUACUGAACAGCAGUUCAGUGUGAAGAAUCCUAUCUUGUGCAUUCAGAAGAAAUAAGUGAUGGAUUGCUCUGAGUGAUGGAUUUUUUUUGCUGAAGGAGCAUCAUAAAAAAGUCAGUGCAACAGAUGGAUAGAGAUGACUCAUGCAAGCCUUCUUAUUUGCAAGUACACAUUUUAUAUGUGAACCCUAAUUAGUAGCCUCACUUAUGUCACACAGACACAUCUGAAAGGAUCCAAAACAAUAUCAAUACCUUUUGAAGGAAUACACAAUUGAACAAAUAAAAGACCCCAUGAUCCAAUGAGCAAAAAACGUAGGGUGAGCAAUACAUUUAGAAGAAUGGGAGGAACUUUGGAAGAACAGACAAUUUACAAGAAGUUACUCUGUUAAAGAAAAGUUUAACAAAAUGAUCUACAGAUGGUACAUAACUCCUGAAAAACUC